rnacentral:rRNA from 1 species
AGAUUAGCUUGCUUUAGUUGUCAGCUAAGUGGCGCACGGGUGAGUAAUGUAUAGAUAACCUGCCCUCUAGAAAGGAAUAACAGUUGGAAACGACUGCUAAUGCCCUAUAUGCCUUUAAUACAUAAGUAUGCAAGGGAAACGCUUUAGUGCUAGAGGAUGGGUCUGUAUGGUAUCAGUUAGUUGGUGAGGUAAUGGCUCACCAAGACUAUGACGCCUAACUGGUUUGAGAGGAUGAUCAGUCACACUGGAACUGAGACACGGUCCAGACUCCUACGGGAGGCAGCAGUGGGGAAUAUUGCACAAUGGACGAAAGUCUGAUGCAGCAACGCCGCGUGGAGGAUGACACAUUUCGGUGCGUAAACUCCUUUUAUAUAGGAAGAUAAUGACGGUACUAUAUGAAUAAGCACCGGCUAACUCCGUGCCAGCAGCCGCGGUAAUACGGAGGGUGCAAGCGUUACUCGGAAUCACUGGGCGUAAAGAGCGUGUAGGCGGGUAUAUAAGUCAGAAGUGAAAUCCUAUAGCUUAACUAUAGAACUGCUUUUGAAACUGUAUACCUAGAAUGUGGGA